UACGUAGGGGGCGAGCGUUGUCCGGAAUCAUUGGGCGUAAAGCGCGUGUAGGCGGCUCGUUAAGUCCGGUGUGAAACCUUGGGGCUCAACCCCAAGCCUGCACUGGAUACUGACGAGCUCGAGUCCGGGAGGGGAGAGCGGAAUUCCUAGUGUAGCGGUGAAAUGCGCAGAUAUUAGGAAGAACACCGGUGGCGAAGGCGGCUCUCUGGAACGGUACUG
rnacentral:rRNA from 1 species